rnacentral:rRNA from 1 species
AGAGUUUGAUCCUGGCUCAGGACGAACGCUGGCGGCGUGCCUAAUACAUGCAAGUAGAACGCUGAAGAAAGGAGCUUGCUUCUUUUGGAUGAGUUGCGAACGGGUGAGUAACGCGUAGGUAACCUGCCUUGUAGCGGGGGAUAACUAUUGGAAACGAUAGCUAAUACCGCAUAAUAGCUUUUGACACAUGUUAGAAGCUUGAAAGAUGCAAUUGCAUCACUACGAGAUGGACCUGCGUUGUAUUAGCUAGUAGGUAGGGUAACGGCCUACCUAGGCGACGAUACAUAGCCGACCUGAGAGGGUGAUCGGCCACACUGGGACUGAGACACGGCCCAGACUCCUACGGGAGGCAGCAGUAGGGAAUCUUCGGCAAUGGGGGCAACCCUGACCGAGCAACGCCGCGUGAGUGAAGAAGGUUUUCGGAUCGUAAAGCUCUGUUGUAAGAGAAGAACGUGUGUGAGAGUGGAAAGUUCACACAGUGACGGUAACUUACCAGAAAGGGACGGCUAACCACGUGCCAGCAGCCGCGGUAAUACGUAGGUCCCGAGCGUUGUCCGGAUUUAUUGGGCGUAAAGCGAGCGCAGGCG